rnacentral:rRNA from 1 species
UACGAAGGGAGCUAGCGUUGUUCGGAAUCACUGGGCGUAAAGCGCACGUAGGCGGAUUUGCCAGUCAGGGGUGAAAUCCCGGGGCUCAACCUCGGAACUGCCUUUGAUACAGCAAGUCUUGAGUUCGAGAGAGGUGGGUGGAAUUCCUAGUGUAGAGGUGAAAUUCGUAGAUAUUAGGAAGAACACCGAUGGCGAAGGCAGCCCCCUGGGCCAACACUGACGCUCAGGCACGAAAGCGUGGGGAGCAAACAGG